rnacentral:rRNA from 1 species
UCUGGUUGAUCCUGCCAGUAGUCAUAUGCUUGUCUCAAAGAUUAAGCCAUGCAUGUCUAAGUACAAACCCUUAAUACGGUGAAACCGCGAAUGGCUCAUUAAAUCAGCUAUGGUUCCUUAGAUCGUCUCAUCCUACUCGGAUAACUGUGGAAAAUCUAGAGCUAAUACGUGCUUACAAGCCCUGACCUCACGGGAGGGGCGCAUUUAUUAGAUCAAAACCAAUCGGGGCUUGCCCCGUCUGCUUGGUGACUCUGGAUAACUUUUGUGCUGAUCGCAUGGCCUCUGCGCUGGCGACGUAUCUUUCAAGUGUCUGCCCUAUCAACUUACGAUGGUAGGUGAUAUGCCUACCAUGGUUAUAACGGGUAACGGGGAAUCAGGGUUCGAUUCCGGAGAGGGAGCCUGAGAAACGGCUACCACAUCUAAGGAAGGCAGCAGGCGCGCAAAUUACCCACUCCCGGCACGGGGAGGUAGUGACGAAAAAAUAACGAUACGGGACUCUUUUGAGGCCCCGUAAUUGGAAUGAGUACACUUUAAAUCCGUUAACAAGUAUCUAUUGGAGGGCAAGUCUGGUGCCAGCAGCCGCGGUAAUUCCAGCUCCAAUAGCGUAUAUUAAUGUUGCUGCAGUUAAAAAGCUCGUAGUUGGAUCUGAGGACUCGAAUUGGUGGUGCACCAUACGGUGUUACUGCCGAUUCGGCCUACCUAGUCGGUGCUCGCUCUUGGUGUUCUUAAUUGAAUGCCCUGAGUGCCCGGCAAGUUUACUUUGAAAAAAUUAGAGUGCUCAAAGCAGGCCAUUAGCCGGAAUACUUCAGCAUGGAAUAAUGGAAUAGGACUUCGGUUCUAUUUUGUUGGUUUUCGGAACCCGAGGUAAUGAUUAAGAGAGACAGACGGGGGCAUUCGUACUGCGGUGUUAGAGGUGAAAUUCUUGGAUCGCCGCAAGACGAACAACUGCGAAAGCAUUUGCCAAGAAUGUUUUCAUUAAUCAAGAACGAAAGUCAGAGGUUCGAAGACGAUCAGAUACCGUCCUAGUUCUGACCAUAAACGAUGCCAACUGGCGAUCCGAGAGAUCGUUUGCUUAUUGACCUCUCUCUCGGGCAGCCUCCGGGAAACCAAAGUUUUUAGGUUCCGGGGGAAGUAUGGUUGCAAAGCUGGAACUGUUCAAUUGCAACUCUGCCUGUGACACCAAGUGGUCGGGUUACUUGGUCUGUUCUGGCCCGGAGUCGGUAGGGUUUCCGGCCUUGUGCUCUUUCCUUACUGUUCUCUGUAACGCCGAAGGCGGGGCUUCCACGGUGGGGAAGCGGUUGUACAAAUCCGGCAAAUCCAGCCAAAUGGGUUCCGGACUCUGUCCAACCUGCAACUGGUAACAGCCUCGGCUGGCUAACAUUUGAGCUGGGACUCGCUUGGGAGGAGCGAGGAUAAUAUAAACCUCUAUGUGACUGAGGUGAGGAAUCUGGUUCUCGUAAAAUGGCUGGAGAUCCCGAGCCUGUAAGUCAUAAAUUAGUUCCCCCACGAGGGGAGGUGUCGAAUUGAAGCCAGUGCGUGCCCUUACUAGUUUAAGGGAUUGUAUACUUCCUUUGGUGUACCCACCUGGAAGUGCCCAAGGGGUCCUAUCCCUGCACUCCAUCCAUCCCGAUUGGAGUCAGGUGACGGCUCCUUACCUCACCAGACGCGGCCGGACCCCGGAAGGGGUCUGGGCCCCGAAGCCUGACGGCGUCGGGGUGCAGGAAGCCUCUAGGCGACCAGCCCAGCCGUGCAGAAAUGCAGUAGGCCUUUAUCUGG